CCUUGAUACAUGUAUAUUUGACCAAAAAGAAAUCUUCUGUUUCUUACCACUACCUAUCCUUUAAAUUUUUUUGCAAUUUGUCUAUGUUUAUUAUUUAUGCCCAGGUUUUAUCAUCUGAAAGAUUCCAGAGAAGCCCAGUGAUCCUGAAGGGUACUGGCAGCCACAGUAUCUGAAAUGCUGUGUCUGAGGACCAUCUUCCCCUGACAUUGCAGAAUACCUAGGACAGAGCAACUGUUUCCAGGCCUACUCUUAUCACAGUCUCCUUGGGGACUUUUAAAAAUCCAGGCCUUUGGACUUAAUGAUUCAGAGUUUCUGGGGCUGGACACCUGCUAGCUCCGUGCUUCAGUCACUCCCCAGCAAAUAUCUUCCACUGAGAUCGUGUGGUUUUAAUCAUACAAGGAGAGUGGCAGAAGAACAGAAAGAUUGAAACCAAGGACAGAGAACACCUGAAAUUGGAAUGGCUUCAAAUGUUCAGUGGAAGUGAACAAGUUCUUGUAUUGUUUUCUCCUAUUCUCCUUCCAGCUUCAGGGUCAUAUGUCACAGCGCUGGGCAUUUCAUUUGGGUAUCUAUCAUCAUUCCCAUUCUGCAAUGAGGAAAUGCUGUCAGAGUGAUUAAGUAAUUUGCCCAUGGUCUCACAUAGAAGCCUGUCUUCUCCAGGGAACACAGCACUCAGAAUCGUCUCGGCCCCUGCAUAAGCCUGCAUGAGCCUGGGCUCUGGGGACCCAUCCUGGUGCAUCAUUCGUUGGCUCUGUGACAAUGGGCACAUCGUUUAACCUCUCUUGGCUUCAUUCUCCUUACUGGAAUGAUGGAGAGAGUUUUGCCUAUUUCAGAGGCUUGCUCUUCUAUACGUGAGCCUAUAAGUAACUUGUCUUAAGAAUUUCCACUCCUUCUGUACUCUGAUUUAAAUUUGAAGGCAUCAAAACAAAAACAAUCAAGAUUUCAGAUUCCAAAUACUUUCAUUUUCAUUUUUUAUUUUGAUUAGAAUUUCUUCUGAAUGAAUUUCUGUUUUGUAAUUUUAGCAUUGCCCUGAGGGGGGGAAAAGGCAGUUUAUCACCAUGCAGUAUAUUUUUCAGACAGCCUCUCUUUGACAAACUGAUUUUUGUCAGUCUCAACUGACUCACCAAUUCCAAAUCCCAGGGCUUCCCUGGGAAACUUCCUUGGAUCAUGGCUCUGCCACACAGGACCGACAUCCCAGAGGCCAAAGCAACCUGCUAUAAACUGAGAUCAUUGCUCAGCAAGCUGGUACCACAUGCAAGGAGUCUCAAGAGCUAACAGGAAAUGAUUCAAGACCAGAAUUACCCAGAACAAGUGUGUUAGCUUCCUCUGCGCAUGGGAUAAUAAGGAGCUUGCAUCACCAACCUUCCGUGAAUAGCCUACUCAGUGAUUCAACAGGUUUCAAAAUUGUGAAAUAAGGGAUGUCUCUUGCAUGGUGUACUUUAGAAGUCUCUACCUGAGGAUGAAGGAAGUACCCAGGAGUAGGCAUCAUUCCACUUUUGUACCAUCUUCCACUAUGUUUAUAUGGGUCCUCACUGAGAAAAAGGUAUUAAAAGUGAGAUGGAAAGAAUAGGUCAGCUAGGUGAAAAAUGGGAGGAAGAGACAGAAGGAUCUGGGUUACAAAAGGCUGAGACCAGGCCGGGCACGGUGGUUCACUCCUGUAAUCCCAGCACUUUGGGAGGCCGAAGCAGGUGGAUCACGAGGCCAGGAGAUCGAGACCAUCCUGGCUAACACGGUGAAACCCUAUCUCUACUAAAAAUACAAAAAAUUAAAAUUAACCGGGCGUAGUGGCAGGCACCUGUAGUCCCAGCUACUCAGGAGGCUGAGGCAAGAGAAUCGCUUGAACCUGGGAGGCAGAGGUUGCAGUGAGCUGAGACUGCACCACUGCACUGCACUCUAACCUGGGCAACAGAGUGAGACUCUGUCUCAAAAAAAAAAAAAAAUGCUGAGACCAAAGUAGCCUGGUGGCUUUGGGAAUGGAAGUCAAACCUGGUGCGUGGGGUGGAGUUCCUGUAGUUUUUAUUAUACUCUCAGAGUAAGGCAAGGUCAGUGAAGCAUUUUGAAGGGAAAGAUGGCAAAGUGGGUCCAUAUUUUUAAAAGCUCAUUUGAAUUGCCAUGUGGCAAUUCAAAUAGGAUAGGAUAAAGAAUAAAAGCAGAAAUGGAGAGAAUAAGAGAAAUGUGGCCGGGUGCAGUGUCUCACACUUGUAAUCCCAGCACUUUGGGAAGCCCAGAGAGCAGCAUCUCUUGAGUCCAAGAGUACAAGACCAGCCUGAGCAACAUUUCAAGACCCUGUCUAUACAAAAAUUACAAAAAUUAUCCUGUGGUUGUGCACCUGUAGUCCCAGCUACCCAGAAGGAUGACGUGGGAGGAUCACUUGGGCCUGGGAGAUCGAGGCUGCAGUGAACCAAGAUCAUGCCACUGUACUCCAGCCUGGGUGAGAGUGAGACCCUGUCUCAAAAAAGAGAGAGAAAUGUGGUCUCAACAAGCAUUAAGGGGAUGGUGGGAAAGGAUGAAAUUAAUGGAAGGAGUAGAGGGAAGUGCAAAGGAUGAAAUUAAUGGAAGGAGUAGAGGGCAGUGCAAAUGGGCAAAGAAUCUGUCUGAGGGUGAGGCUGUGCACAAAGUCCUUGGGAUAUAGCAAAACAGGUCAGUGAGGCAUGAAAUCAGAGAGGCAGGCUUUAUACAGACUUGUGGUAGUUGCAGGACGAGGGUUGGGGGGAAGUGGUUUGCAGACUGCUGUGAACUACAGACAUUUUUUAAGGAUAUCAAGAAGAGCCCCCUCAUUUUCUUCCUUACCCCCGCUGCCCCACUCCUGAUUCAUGGGCAGGUGAACCUAGCCCAUGAAGCAAUGCUGACCCAACCAUCAAAACAUGACACCAGCUUGCUGCCCAAUCCUCUGUGGACCAAACUGCAGUCAGUCACCAUGUACAAUACAAUCAAGCAGUAACACUCUGAGGUUCUCGAACGCCCCUUUACAGAGGGAACUUGGCAGGGAGUAGCCAUGUGUGAACAACAGGGACUCCCCAUUGUUCUGCACUGAUGAUUGAAUAGACUUCCUUGGUGGCCCAUGGAGACAGCUGUUUUUACUGAGGAACAUUUUGCCCUUUGAAUGUGAUUAGUAAGACAGAGAUGACUCUAUUCUUUAAAGGUCUCCAAUGACCAAAUUUGGCCUCUGAGAACUGGACCGAAACAUUUUGUGUGAGUCACGUCUGUUUGCCUCAUUUUCUGUCACUAGUUGUUAUGGAAACUACAUAGCACAGCCUGAGGGUUCAGAAUUCCUGAAGUUGGCCUCAAACUUAUGCAUAGUUUGUACAGCAAACAAGUUUGCUUACUUUGUUAAUCUUUAGCUACUUCCCAUCCUGCUCAGAUUGGAAGCGGAAGAGGUCAAUACUGCCUAGCGUCCACUCUGGUCUUUUCACAUGAAUCAAAAUAAUAGACUUGACCUUGUGUCCUGCCCUGAGGAUGGUACAGAUAUUUAAAAGAAUUCCAAAUCACUUCCUGGGUUAUCUGAUUGUAGGAUCAAAGUGGCCCCCUUGCUAACAUAAAAAUGAUACACAUGUGAAAAGAAUUUAAGACUUCUUCAUGCUGUCUUUUUUGGGUUCAUCCCAAUCUUUUGGCAAAAUCUCCAGCCAGAUCUUAAUGGCCACUGGGUUUACUCUGGGAAAUAUGCACUUUAGAGAGAUGUUUGACAUAUUUUUGUUACUUGAACUUCUUUGAGAUAUCUAUAGAUCUUUGAAACUCAGACACAAGAAAGUUUUAUGUCCAUGGUGCCUCCCGAUUAUUCAAAGAAAGGUGAUGAGUUUUAUGGCUUCUUCAGAAAGGAAUCUAAAUCAGACAGACCUGGAGUCAUAGUCUGGUUCUACCAUUUAAUAAUUGCUUGACUGAGUAAGUAAAUUACCUUUGUGAGCCUCUGUUAUCCAUCUACAAGACAAUGCUAUUAACAACUAUCCCAUGGGUUGUUAUGAAGACUAAGCAAAUUUAACAUGCAAAUUGCCUAGAACAGGUUUUUAUACAUAGUAGGCACUUAGCAAAUGUUAAUUUCCUUUCCUUUUCCAUUGCACUACCUGCUUUGUGGCCAUGUUGUUGACCAAUAGCACUUCCAGUUGCAGAUGAGCAGGAAUAGACAAAGAAUGUGGAAUUUUUAUAAAGUUCCAAUUAAGAGAGCCUGAAAGCCAUCCAGGUGUUCCUUCUAAACUUAGAUGUGUGAUUUAACAUGAGGAAGCCAUGUAACUUUUGUGCUGUGACCAUAAACUGAGAAGGCUGGAGCAUGUAAUCCUGAAGCCAGGCAUUUUAACUGAUGUAACGGAAGCAAUGUGUAUUUUUACUAUUAACUAAAAAGUGACUGGGGCAGGUCUCAAUCCAUAGAGAGGUAUUUUGCCAAGGUUAAAGACAUGCCUGGGGAAAUUUUAAGUCCCAAGAGUAUCUGUGACUUGUGUUUUUUUCCAAAAGGUGGUAAACCAAAAAUAAAAUUCUAAGCUCCACAGCCAUCAGAAUGAACCCCUCCUCUCAGCCAAGGGCAUUCCAAAGUUAACCUGAAAAACUGGUUCAGGCCGUGAUGUUCCUAUCAUGGGAGUCAGACAUGCCUCAUUAUACCUUCCUCCCUUUUGGAAUUCAGGCACAGCUGACUAGCAUUAACAUCAACACAGAGACCUUAGAACUGGUAAAACAGACUCUUUACGUCUGAUAAGAAACAUUUACAAUCUGUUCUUUCUGAAGCCUCCUACCCGGAGGCUUCAUCUGCAUGGUAAAACCUUGCUCUCCACAACCCAUUAUCAUAGCCCAGACAUUUCUUUCUAUUGAUUCCAGAUCUUUAGAUAAUAAUACAACCAAUCAGAAAAUGUUUGAAUCCACCUAUGACUUGGAAGCCCCCACUUUCGGUUGUCUUGGCUUUCUGGACCAAACCAAUGUACAUCUUACAUGUAUUGAUUGAUGCCUUAUGACUCCCUAAAAUGUAUAAAACCAAGCUGUAGCUGGCCACCUGGGGUACAGGUUGUCAGGAUCUCCUGGGAAUGUGUCAGAGGCCAUUGGUAACUCAUAUUUAGCUCAGAAUAAAUCUCUUCAAAUAUUUUACAGUUUGACUCUUUUUGUCGACAGGGAGCUUUUGGAACGUCAGUAAUAAAGGAAAAAAGCAAGCAGGAAGGGAAAAAAGAGAGGGAGGAUAGGCAGUGAGGCAGAUGGUGACAUUCUUGUGAGGCUCUGAUUAGCUUCAGUAAAUCUACAUUUUACAUAAGAAGAAGAGGGAGUAGGGGAAAAAGUCAAUGACGCAUUGUCCUGUGCUCAGUCAACUACAUUUGACAUAGCUAAAGUAACCGCAUGAAAAGAGGGAGCAGAGGAAAUGGGGCUAUGGCACAGGGUUGUGAAAUUACAGCUAUUUGGGAACAAAAGGAAAACAGUGUCCGUUCCCAAGCUUAACUUUCUCUUGUCAUAGUGUGUUUGGGGCCCCAAGAUUCUAUUUUCUUUCACACUACUAACCCCAAUGAAUAUAUGCUUUAUCUUUUAGAAACUGCACAAAAGAAAGAAAAAUGCAAGUUGGAGAAGAGACCAACAUGGAGCUUGUGCUUGCUCUCAUUAAGAACUCAAUCUCUUGAAAAAUCACAUUCUAAUAUUUCUAUGGGUGAGCACGGAUUUCACAUCAGCUCCCCAUAGCCUUCUUGGGUCCAUCAGUUCAUCACUUCUAGAAGUUGGCCACCUGUGAAGCCACUUAGGGGAGGUCACUCAUCACUGCUGGUGACAGUGGUGCUCUGUGUGUGAAUACUCAUGUUCAUACCCAUGGCAGGGGAUUUUCUCUCCAGGUUAAACAGUGUUGCUGUGUUUCCCUCUCUCUUCCAGUCUCACACGUUCAGGAAAAUUAAUCCCCAAAGUCCUCAUUCAUUAUUUAGCAAAUAUGUUCAAAUAGGAGAGAAUAUCAGCUUAAGUUUAAGCUAAGGCCCUCUGCUAAGGAAAUACAAAAUAUAUAUGUGAAAAGGAAAUUCUAGUUGAAGAACAGUAUGAAAACUCCCAAAAUGGGCUGGAGAAUUUGUGAUUACAGUCUUGAGAGAUCAUUUAAAAAUAGAAUCAGAUUAGCAAAUGCGUUCAGUGCUAGGUAGGGGAGUUAGUCAUAAAUCUAACAGGCUCUAUGUAGAGCCACUGAAGACAGACAUAGUUAAAACUCAAGUUGAUUUCUGUAUAUUAUUUUUAAUGACUUAGAAUUCAAUCCAAAAUUUGCUUAGUGUUAUUGUGUACCUUUAUGCAAAUAAUGUACACUUUCUAAGCAUCAGUUAUUCUUCUGUGAAAUUGGGAUAAUUUUACUUUUGUCAAGGGCUGCCCUGAGGAGUGAAUCAGAUGCUAUACGUAAGCUCAGUGGGUACAAGGCCUAAUAGUAGUGGCUUAAUGCGUGUACUCUUCUUCUUUUUCCUUAAUAGAAGAAUAAGGUGAAAUUAAAAACAAGGUUGAUAAUUACAUGUAUAUUUUAAUGAUUCAUCAAUCAAUAAAUGAUAACAUUAACAAUAAUUUUACUGUCAGUACUUAGAAGUUAAAAGGAGAAUGGUAAAAUCAGUCUGUUGAUCCUAAAAGUUUUAUUUUUUCUUUCAUCCUUUCAUAAAUUAUAUCUGAAUCUAGAUUACUGAAAUGCAACAAAUAAAAAUAUUUACAAAGCUAUCUUCUCUUUUAGUGAAUAUAAUGUUAUUAGAAAAUAACGGUUACUUCAUUAUUCAACAUUCAAUGUGUCUUCUGACUUUCUUACUCCAAUUUAUAUAAAAAAUUUUUAGAAUUUUUAAAUAACAAUGUUAUUGACAUAAAAUUCACAUACCCUGCAAUUUGCUGAUUUAAAAUGUAAAUGAAAUUAUUUUUAGUAUAUGCACAGAGUGAUACAGCCACCAUCGCAAUAAAUUCAAGAACAUUUUAUCGCCUAUCAAAAAACCCUCAUCUCCCUAUAGUCACUCAGCUUCCCUGCCUCACUUCCACAACUCUAGGCAACCACUAAUCUAAUUCCUGUUUCUAUAGGUUUCUCUAUUCUGGACUUUCACAUAUAAGGAAUCAUAUAAUAUGUGGUCUUUUGUCUCUGGCUUCUUUUACUUAGCAUCAUGUUUUCAAGGUUCAUCCAUGCUGAAGCAUGGGUCAGGACUUCAUUCUUUGUAUUGCCAAAUAAUAUUCCAUUGUAUGGAUGCACCACAUUCUAUUUACCCAUUCAGGAUUUAAUGUACAUUUGAGUUGGUUUCCAAAUUUUGGCUAUUGUGAAUAAUGCUGCUAUAGAAUUACAGAAUUUUAGAAGGUGCCAUAUGGCUUAUGUGGCCCGUUCCUCUCCAUUUACAGAUAUGCUAAUGAAGCAUCACAAAAGUGGGGUGAAUAGCCUAUGUCUCAGUGCUUCUCAGUAGCAAAACAUUAACUAGAACCCAGUUCUUGUAAUUAUUUUAUAACUGCCAUUCCCAUCUCUACCAAUAGUUUGCAAGGUUUUAGAGGGACGGCCUUGCACUAACAGUUAAAAUGGAUUAAGUAGCAGAUAUGAGCCAGUCUCUGUAUCCCCAGCAAUAUACAGUGUAGUGGAAUAUACAACACGACUUGGUGAUUGGGUCUGAUUCUAUUAAUCUCUGAAAGACUUAUCCUAGUGCAGAGCACGUAGUGAGCAUAUAAUAGGAAAUUGUGUAACUAGUAUGUUGGAAGAGCUGAAGUCAUGGGGUAUAAGCAUGCAAGCAACUUAAUGUUUGAUUUUUAUUUUCCCUUUAAGCCAUUCAUUGUGGUAGUUUUUUUGAAAUAAUCCUAGAUAAAAAUUUGGAUAGGCCCCAAUAAAUUAAAAGCCCUAGAAUCACAUUAUGUCACAAAACAGCUUUAAUUCAGUACUUAGAAUAGUAAACCUAUGUAAGAAUGAAAGGUUUCAUCUUCACUGAAGUAGAGUCUUCUCUCGUGCCUAAGGCUCACAGCCAGCCAGCAACAUGCAAGGGCUGGGGAGAUAAGGUACAAGAGGAGCUGGUGAGGCCUAAUAAAAUGGAUGCUGUGACAAGAUGGGCCUGUGUUCUCUAGACCUGGCCAGUUGUUACAACCUGUUUCUUUCAUGGCUGCUUUUAUGGGUUCUUUAGAGUUUAUCUCCCCCGUCACUGGGUGGCUACAAUUCUCUUGACACGAAUGAUUUACACCUUUCUGGUUUGUCACUUUAUCCCUCCUUAGCUUCUAGGAAUACAGCAACCCUUCAGCCAGAUCACCCCUCCUGGUGGCCCUACUGGAAAGUUCUAGAUAUUCCUUUGUAUGAAUGGUCCACAUCUGGUUCCCUGGAAAUUCUCAUGCACCCUUUGCCCUCCAAGGGCCAAAUCCAGUGUAGCCUUGCUUCUACUCAUCUUUCAGCAGCAGGGAAAUAUCCUUAUUCCACCCUUCCUCUUUGUUAAACCAGUCAAGUCUGUCCCUCUUCCCACCCUGCUAAAUACUUCAGACCACACAUAUUCUGUCCUCUGAUCAGUUUCCUUCAAGUUCCUCUCUUGACUUGAGAUGGUGAGAAAUAUGUCCUCCCACUUGGAGUGUUGAUGUGUUUAGGGGAGGGGACAGAACUCACAUCACAGCUCUCUCUCCAAGUAAAUAUUCCUGAACAUUCUUUCUGAAGCUUUUGUACUUUAGAUAUAGAAGAGGAGUUCAGCAGUCAGGGAACUGCUUUUUAUUAAAAACAAACAAACAAAACCUAAAACAUUUGACACUUUGCAUUUUGGUCUGUAGCCUUACUUUAGAAUAUCAUAUCUAUUAUAUCUUGGUCUCUCAAAUGUAAUUUACAAUUUAAUGUCUGGUUAUACUUUGAAAUUGUCUAGAAGGCAGGGUAUUACAAUAAAAGGAACAUUGACUUAGAGUGAUACUAGCUAUCAUGUGUGGAACUCUAUACCAGACACCAUGCUAAUUUAUUUAUUUAUUUAUUUAUUUAUUUAAGAUAGUGUCUCACUCUGUCGCUGGGCUGGAGUGCAGUGGUGUGAUCUCAGCUCACUGCAACCUCUGCCUCCUGGGUUCAAGCGAUUCUCCUGCCUCAGCCUCCCAAGUAGCUGGGAUUACAGGCACCUGCCACCCCUGGCUAAUUUUUGUAUUUUUUAGUAGAGACGGGGUUUCACCAUGUUGGCCAGGCUGGUCUUGAACUCCUGGCCUCAAGUCAUCUGCCCUCCUUGGCCUCUUAAAGUGCUGGGAUUACAUGCAUGAGCCACCACACCUGGCCCAAAUAAUUUAUUAACAUUAUCUCAUUAAUCUCUUUCAACAACUCAAUGAUAGAGCUAUUUUGAUCUUCAUUCAAUAAAGCAGGGACUUAAACCUUCAAAAGGUAUCAUCUAGAAUGGUGUACUAAAGGUGUAGUUUAUUUGGGUGCUUUCAACAGGAAGAAACAGAGCAAUCGCACACCCUUAAAUGGCUUCAACAACAGAAAGCAGCACUAUUUUACAUAGUAGUUAACCCAGAGAUAGGGGCCAUGCCAGUGCUAGUUAAUCUGACGGCUCAAGGAUGCGUCAAGCACCUGGGUUCUUUCAAUCUUUUGGUUAUGCAUCCUUGGUAUUUAAGCCUGUCCUAGGCUAGUUCCUUUUGCUAUCACAUGAUGGUUGCCACAUUUCUAGAAAUCAGAUCUAGAUGAGACAAUGCUUAGAAUAAUUGUUUCUCCCUUUUAGUAAAACUCUUCCUAAAUCUCACCAUGAGUGCCUGAACAAAAUGGAAUUCUGCAACAAGGAAGAAAAAGGAGGAUAUACUCUAGGUGUAGAGUUGACGACUGGUUACAGGGGUUUAAGUAACUGGACUUAAGUGGUUAAAGGAGUCUUACCUUCUCAGUUCCUUAGUUCCUUCACCUGUAAAAUCAGAGUUUUGUGUCCUGGUGAUUGUCUAUUUGCUUUUUUAUUACAGCAAAGCUGAUGGUACUUUAUGGUAUCCUUUAAAAGAAGUAAAUAUUUAAGAGUAUGACUUUUAGGUCAUUAACAAGACUGGAUCAUUGUCUUGAAAGUAAAAACACCCACAUUUCAAUUAUUGUUAGUUUUUUGUUCUUUCAGUGAUAAAUCACCAUAUAAUGUUAUGGAAGAGUUACUCAGGAGCUUCGAAUACUUAUCUCUAGAGGCAGCAGAUGUUUGUUUGUUGUAGAUGAAAUAAAUCUCCAAAGUAGACAGAUUUAUCUGUCAAUCAAUAUGGGCAUAUAGAGAGUGAGGAGACAGUGGACCUAGGCAGGCUCACACUGGCUGACCAUCACCCAGGUCAGUUGCCACACUCGUUCUGCAACUUUGAAAGGAACACACAAAGCACAGCCUCAUGCACAGCCAGUGAACAACUGGGCUCAGAUUAUCUGCGGACGCUAUAGUUUAUUUAUUUAUGUAUUUUCUCUUUUUUAGACAAGGGCUUUCCCUGUUGUCCAGGCUGGAAUGCAGAGGUGUGAUCCUAGCUCAUUGCAGCCUCAACCUCCUGGACUCAAGUGAUCCUCCCACCUCGGCCUCCCAAGUAGCUGGGACCACAGGGGUGUACCACCAAGCCCGGCUAAACUCAUUAUGUUGCCCAGGCUGGUCUCAAACUUCUGGCCUCAAGUGAUCCUCCCACCUCGGCAUCCCACAGUGCUAGAAUCACAGAUGUAAGCCACCACACUGGUCCAAGUGCAGUUUAGAUUGUUGCUCAUGCUGUUAGUCAUUUCUGGUUUUGGUUAACUUUUAUUUGUUUUAGACAGUGUCUUGCUCUGUCACCUGGACUGGAGUGCAGUGGUGUGAUCUCAGCUCACUGCAACCUCUGCCUCCGGGGUACAAGCGAUUCUCCUGCCUCAGCCUCCCAAGUAGCUGGGAUUACAGGUACCUGCCACCACACAUGGCUAAUUUUGUAUUUUUAGUAGAGACAGGGUUUUUACUAUGUUGGCCAGGCUGGUCUUGAACUCCCCUGACCUCAAGUGAUUGGCCUGUCUUGGCCUUCCAAAGUGCUGGAAUUUACAGGCGUGAGCCACCAUGCAUGGCCUCAAAUAGUAUUUUCUAAUAGUAUUUUGCACCUUUAAAAUAUUUGUUCAAACUCUAUUUUAGGCUAACCUUUGAGUACAUAGAGAUGUUUGCUCUAUUGCAGAUCUUGCUCUAAAGUUGAUCUUUCUUCCAAGCUCCUGACUUUUAUAUGAAGCUGAAGAUUCCCUAAUUAUACUUCCAUAGCUCAGGAAAAUAACUUUCAGACUUAUCCAAAAUCAAGCUCUUAAUCCUAACUGGAAGUUUUCAAUACCUGCUUAACACUCAGUUCUCAAUUGUAUUUUCUCAGAGAAGUUUCCCUCACUGUCCUGGUCUAAAUGAACUCACUCUGUUGCAUCCUCCUUCUCUCUCAUGAUGUUUAUCACACCAUGCAAUUAUAUAUUCAUUUGUGUGCCUCCUUGCUCAGUGUUUCACACUUCACCAAUCUGUGCAUAUCAGGAGGGUAGUGACCAUGUCUCUUUUGUUCACAAUUACAUUACUUGGCACAGUAUACAGUAGGUGUUCAAUAAGUAUUGUGGAAUUCAUGAAGGAUACUGCACCAUGUUUCAGAAGUUUGAAGAUGCUAGUUUUAUUAUAUCUGAAGAAACCCACCACCUUAUGCAAAAAGAAAUUACUGGGAUGCUUUAAUAUCUAAAACAUCUCUGCUGAAAGAGUCUUGUUUGUUGAAUGGAUUUAGAAAGAGAUAAAACAUUUGAUAGUGAAGAAAUGUUAUAGUAUACUGUCUUUAAUUCCUGGAUUAAAAUUUGAUAUGUUAAGAGAAGUCCAGGGUAAUAAUAGACAAAAAUUACUAGAUAACUCAAACAAAAUGUACUUGAUAUUCACUUAUCAUGAAAUACAGGUUUGUGGACUAGAUUUCUUGCUCAUUAGGAAUAUUAAAGAUCUUCAACUUCCCUUUUUUUGACAAAUUAGCAAGUUUAUGUCCAAAUAGGUUACUUGGUUUGCUCUCUACCAAUGUCACAUUGUAUAGGGGACACUAAUCACUGGUCUUCUAAUUCCUAGUCUGGUAUUUAUUUCAUUUUGUAAUUAUUUUUUAAAAGUUAUGAGGACCAUAAACAUAUUAUUUUGUGACAUAAUCUUAGCAAAAGGGCAAAGAAAGAAACUUUCAGGAUCUUAUUGUUAAGUAGUUGGAAUUUUUAAGUAACUUAUUUUACUAAAAUUUCUCUAAUUCAUAGUAACACUUAUUUCUUUAUUUCUUCAGAAAAAAACGUUGUUGUGAACGUUGGUCAUCCAUAAAAUAGAAUAUUAUUUAGUGAUAAAAGAAAUGAACUAUCAAGCCAUAAAAAAAAGUUCAAGAAACUGAAGUGUAUAUUGCAAAGUAAGCGAACCCAAUUGAAAAGGCUAUAUACUAUAUGAUUCCAACUUUAUGACAUUCUGGAAAAGGCUAAACUAUGGAGACAGUGAACAGAUUAAAAAAAACAAUGGUUACCAGGGUAUGUAGGGGAGGGAGGGAUGAAUAGGUAAAACACAGAAGAUAUUUAGUAUAGAGAAGCUAUUCUAUAUAAUGGUGGAUACGUCAUUAUACAUUUGUCAAAACCUGUAAAAUUUACAACACUAAGAGUGUGAACCCUAAGGUAAACUAUAGACUUUGGGUGAUAAUGAUGUAUCAAUUUGGUUAAUCAAUCAUAACAAGUGUACCACUCUGGUGGGGGAUAUUGAUAUUGGUGGAGGUUGUGCCUGUGGGGUCAGGAGGCAUACAGGGACUCCAUACUUCCCACUCAAUUUUGCUUUGACCCUAAAACUGCUCUAAAAAUAAAAUCUAUUUAUUAAAUGUGAAUAAAUAAAUAGGUAGGUAAGUAGGUAGAUAGAUGAUAGAUAAAUGUUGCUCAUUCCUUUUAUUUUCAUUAGUGAUGGUUCCCACUGUGCAAACAAUUUGUGGAGUGCCCUGCUUUAGAUAGCAAUAGGCAGUGUGGCACGGCAAGGCAUCAAGUCAAACCAGGGUCAGCACUUGGGUUCUGCAGGCUGCACAUUGCCUGCCAUGGUGAACGUGUCCCUCCAAAAUUCCUAUUUGAAAUCCUAACUUUCAAGGUGAUGGCAUUAGGAGAGGAGAUUAGGUCAUGGGGGCUUUGUUUUCAUGAAUGAAAUUAGUGAAAAGAGGCCUGAGGGAGCACCCUUGCCCUUUCCACCAUGUGAGGACACAGCAAGAAGACGGCUGUCUGUGAACCAGGAAGCAAGUCCUCAGCAGACACUGAGUUUGCUGGCACCUUGUCUUUGGACUUCCCAACCUCCAGAAAUAUGAGAAACAAACUUCUCUUAUGUAUAAACUACUUCACUUAUGGUACUUUGUUAUGGCAAUCCAAAUGGAUGAAGACUCUGCCCAGGCUUAUGGGCACCAUCCACAUAGACUAGGAUCUGAUUCUCCUUUGAGUUGUAACAUAGCAGCCCUCAUUCGAGUCCAUCCUCCCUUAGAAAAUUGACUGUGACUUUGGUCAAUAAAUUUAAGCUUUUUGUAUAUUUGGCAUUUCAUUUCCUAUAAAAUUGAGAUCAUAACAUAUACUUCAUAAAGUAUACAAAAAUAAUAUCCCAGAGGAAUAAUUUCUGCUGGGGGCAGAGACCUAUUAAGUGUGGCCUGCUCUAAAGGUUGUUAGAAAUGUUAUUUAUCCAUUACGGCAAAUCCUUCAGGUUUCCUCCUUAGGCUGGACUUUGGAAUCUUCUUGGAAGAUGAGGUUCUUCUUCAAUUCUUCAAUUAAAAAAAAGGCUAAGUUUGAUGAACUACAACAUCAGGAAUAAAAACAGGAAACAAUAUUCCAAGUGUGAUUCCAUCUACCAACGUAGAAGUAUGGACUACAGGCCAGAAUUCAAGAUCUCUAAGCCAUGCUCCAAUUAUCCAUAUUUGUUACUUUUGAUAUUUUCUGUUGCUUUUCCUUUUAGGGUGUAGCAGUUAAAACUUUCACUCUAAAAGUGCUCAGUGCCUGCCUUAGGAGAUACUGAGCACAUCACAGCCCAUCUUGGAAAAACAGACCUGUAAGGAUUUGAAUAGAUGGCAGUAGCCUAAAAAGAAGGGAAGGGAAGCAGGCUAAUGACCAGGAGGUGAUUUCUGUAGCGUGGGAGGAAAAAAAAGUUAUUGUUAGCCAUCCUGGUUCCAAGGGGAAAAGGGGCCGCUGCUGCCUAAGUAAAUUGCCUGACAGUGAGGCUCAAGAAAGAAUUUCCUUUCCUAGGGAGACAGUAUUAUUGGAUCUCUUAGGAAUUGCUUUCUUUCUUCCUGAUUGAAUUAUUCUUAAAUACAAGGUGUAUCUCCUUGUUUGAGUAAUAAUGCAAAUGCUGUUUUAUAUAAACUGUCUUCCCUUGACUCAUCAGAAAAUAAAACAGAAUCAUGGUAUCUAUAAUCCAGUGGCAAAUAUUUUAGAAAAAAACUAAUCUAAAUGGAAGGUAGCCUCACUGACUAUUUAGAGCCUAAUUCUUUUUUUUUUUUUUUAAUUUUUUAUUUUCUUGAGACCGAGUCUUG
rnacentral:lncRNA from 1 species